ensembl:lncRNA
GAAAAGUUUGCAUAGAGUAGCUAGCUAGAUUACUAUCAAGUGGCAACUUCUGGGAUAGAAAACAAAGGAAAAUGAAGGACUAAAAACUGCAAAUAAAUUAGAGGUGUCUUAAGGCUGGCCCUUUGUAUUGAGGCUUAAAUAUUUCGAUUUUUAUUGAGCUGCUUUAAGUGACAAGCGGGCUGCUAGCUGUCUUCAAGGAGUCCCUCGCUAAUAUUUUGGUGAACUGAACGUCUUGAUCGUGUUUGGAACUUUGGUGCCUUUUGUAAAUACAGUUAUUUAACAGAUAUUUUGGCAUGCUAUGUAGUUAAAGUACUAACAAAUGGUCCAAGAAGUCAGAGUCCAGGUUUUCCUAAUAGGAAGUGGACGGACUGGAUGGUGCAACAGAGUCAAUAAAUCCAUUUCUGUCUGAGAUGCACCAGGUCUCUUGUUUCCUCAAAGGAAACUCUGGAUAAAUAUUUCACUGCAUCUUUACGCAGAGAAAUAAGAAUACAAUGCAAACUCGAGUGCCAGCUCCACACAAAUAUAUGCCAACGUGUGUUUUUUUUUCUUUUUCCAAUGGAUUUACAUCCAGAUGUAUUAAAAAUUCUCUUCUCCAUUAUCUGAAAAUGCAUAUUUCUUAAUUAUUCAUCGCAAGGCAUUGAAGCACCCAGGUCUUUUAAAUUUUUUAUUUCUGCUCAGCUUCAAACAGGAGAUCUUGUAAAGGGGACCCAGUUUUGGGGUGUGGGAAUUGCUGCAGGGCGAAGCUGACAGGAUUUUUCAGUCUCGAGGCACCUCUUGCUUUUUCAUUACAG